rnacentral:rRNA from 1 species
AGAACGAACGCUGGCGGCAUGCCUAACACAUGCAAGUCGAACGAGACCUUCGGGUCUAGUGGCGCACGGGUGCGUAACGCGUGGGAAUCUGCCCUUGGGUUCGGAAUAACAGUUAGAAAUGACUGCUAAUACCGGAUGAUGACGUAAGUCCAAAGAUUUAUCGCCCAGGGAUGAGCCCGCGUAAGAUUAGCUAGUUGGUGGGGUAAAGGCCUACCAAGGCAACGAUCUUUAGCUGGUCUGAGGGGAUGAUCAGCCACACUGGGACUGAGACACGGCCCAGACUCCUACGGGAGGCAGCAGUGGGGAAUAUUGGACAAUGGGCGAAAGCCUGAUCCAGCAAUGCCGCGUGAGCGAUGAAGGCCUUAGGGUUGUAAAGCUCUUUUACCCGGGAUGAUAAUGACAGUACCGGGAGAAUAAGCUCCGGCUAACUCCGUGCCAGCAGCCGC